CGGGGCGUAGCGCAGUCUGGCAGCGCGCUUGGUUCGGGACCAAGAGGUCGGCAGUUCGAGUCUGCCCGCCCCGACCA
rnacentral:tRNA from 1 species